GGAGUAGCAAUACUUAGUGGCAGACGGGUGAGUAACAUGUGGGUAUCUACCCUUUGGCCUGGAAUAACACGAGGAAACUUGUGCUAAUACUGGAUGAGUCUUUACGGAGAAAGCUUUAUGCGCCAAUGGAUGAGCCCGCACUUGAUUAGUUUGUUGGUGGGGUAAUGGCCUACCAAGACUUUGAUCAAUAGCUGAUCUGAGAGGAUGAUCAGCCACAUUGGGACUGAGACACGGCCCAAACUCCUACGGGAGGCAGCAGUAGGGAAUAUUGCACAAUGGAGGAAACUCUGAUGCAGCGAUGCCGCGUGAGUGAAGAAGGCCCUUGGGUUGUAAAGCUCUUUCGUCGGGGAAGAAAAUGACUGUACCCGAAUAAGAAGGUCCGGCUAACUUCGUGCCAGCAGCCGCGGUAAUACGAAGGGACCUCGCGUAGUUCGGAAUUACUGGGCUUAAAGAGUUCGUAGGUGGUUAAAAAAGUUGGUUGUGAAAUCCCGGAGCUUAACUCCGGAACUGCAAUCAAAACUUUUUAGCUAGAGUAUGAUAGAGGAAAGCAGAAUUUCUAGUGUAGAGGUGAAAUUCGUAGAUAUUAGAAAGAAUACCAAUUGCGAAGGCAGCUUUCUGGAUCAUUACUGACACUGAGGAACGAAAGCAUGGGUAGCGAAGAGGAUUAGAU
rnacentral:rRNA from 1 species